GGUUAAGCGACUAAGCGUACACGGUGGAUGCCCUGGCAGUCAGAGGCGAUGAAGGACGUGCUAAUCUGCGAUAAGCGUCGGUAAGGUGAUAUGAACCGUUAUAACCGGCGAUUUCCGAAUGGGGAAACCCAGUGUGAUUCGACACACUAUCAUUAACUGAAUCCAUAGGUUAAUGAGGCGAACCGGGGAACUGAAACAUCUAAGUACCCCGAGGAAAAGAAAUCAACCGAGAUUCCCCAGUAGCGGCGAGCGAACGGGGAGCAGCCCAGAGCCUGAAUCAGUGUGUGUGUUAGUGGAAGCGUCUGGAAAGGCGCGCGAUACAGGGUGACAGCCCCGUACACAAAAAUGCACAUACUGUGAGCUCGAUGAGUAGGGCGGGACACGUGGUAUCCUGUCUGAAUAUGGGGGACCAUCCUCCAAGGCUAAAUACUCCUGACUGACCGAUAGUGAACCAGUACCGUGAGGGAAAGGCGAAAAGAACCCCGGCGAGGGAGUGAAAAAGAACCUGAAACCGUGUACGUACAAGCAGUGGGAGCCUCUUUAUGGGGUGACUGCGUACCUUUGUAUAAUGGGUCAGCGACUUAUAUUCUGUAGCAAGGUUAACCGAAUAGGGGAGCCGAAGGGAAACCGAGUCUUAACUGGGCGUUAAGUUGCAGGGUAUAGACCCGAAACCCGGUGAUCUAGCCAUGGGCAGGUUGAAGGUUGGGUAACACUAACUGGAGGACCGAACCGACUAAUGUUGAAAAAUUAGCGGAUGACUUGUGGCUGGGGGUGAAAGGCCAAUCAAACCGGGAGAUAGCUGGUUCUCCCGAAAGCUAUUUAGGUAGCGCCUCGUGAAUUCAUCUCCGGGGUAGAGCACUGUUUCGGCAAGGGGUCAUCCCGACUUACCAACCCGAUGCAAACUGCGAAUACCGGAGAAUGUUAUCACGGGAGACACACGGCGGGUGCUAACGUCCGUCGUGAAGAGGGAAACAACCCAGACCGCCAGCUAAGGUCCCAAAGUCAUGGUUAAGUGGGAAACGAUGUGGGAAGGCCCAGACAGCCAGGAUGUUGGCUUAGAAGCAGCCAUCAUUUAAAGAAAGCGUAAUAGCUCACUGGUCGAGUCGGCCUGCGCGGAAGAUGUAACGGGGCUAAACCAUGCACCGAAGCUGCGGCAGCGACACUAUGUGUUGUUGGGUAGGGGAGCGUUCUGUAAGCCUGUGAAGGUGUGCUGUGAGGUAUGCUGGAGGUAUCAGAAGUGCGAAUGCUGACAUAAGUAACGAUAAAGCGGGUGAAAAGCCCGCUCGCCGGAAGACCAAGGGUUCCUGUCCAACGUUAAUCGGGGCAGGGUGAGUCGACCCCUAAGGCGAGGCCGAAAGGCGUAGUCGAUGGGAAACAGGUUAAUAUUCCUGUACUUGGUGUUACUGCGAAGGGGGACGGAGAAGGCUAUGUUGGCCGGGCGACGGUUGUCCCGGUUUAAGCGUGUAGGCUGGUUUUCCAGGCAAAUCCGGAAAAUCAAGGCUGAGGCGUGAUGACGAGGCACUACGGUGCUGAAGCAACAAAUGCCCUGCUUCCAGGAAAAGCCUCUAAGCAUCAGGUAACAUCAAAUCGUACCCCAAACCGACACAGGUGGUCAGGUAGAGAAUACCAAGGCGCUUGAGAGAACUCGGGUGAAGGAACUAGGCAAAAUGGUGCCGUAACUUCGGGAGAAGGCACGCUGAUAUGUAGGUGAAGUCCCUUGCGGAUGGAGCUGAAAUCAGUCGAAGAUACCAGCUGGCUGCAACUGUUUAUUAAAAACACAGCACUGUGCAAACACGAAAGUGGACGUAUACGGUGUGACGCCUGCCCGGUGCCGGAAGGUUAAUUGAUGGGGUUAGCGGUAACGCGAAGCUCUUGAUCGAAGCCCCGGUAAACGGCGGCCGUAACUAUAACGGUCCUAAGGUAGCGAAAUUCCUUGUCGGGUAAGUUCCGACCUGCACGAAUGGCGUAAUGAUGGCCAGGCUGUCUCCACCCGAGACUCAGUGAAAUUGAACUCGCUGUGAAGAUGCAGUGUACCCGCGGCAAGACGGAAAGACCCCGUGAACCUUUACUAUAGCUUGACACUGAACAUUGAGCCUUGAUGUGUAGGAUAGGUGGGAGGCUUUGAAGUGUGGACGCCAGUCUGCAUGGAGCCGACCUUGAAAUACCACCCUUUAAUGUUUGAUGUUCUAACGUUGGCCCCUGAUCGGGGUUGCGGACAGUGUCUGGUGGGUAGUUUGACUGGGGCGGUCUCCUCCUAAAGAGUAACGGAGGAGCACGAAGGUUGGCUAAUCCUGGUCGGACAUCAGGAGGUUAGUGCAAUGGCAUAAGCCAGCUUGACUGCGAGCGUGACGGCGCGAGCAGGUGCGAAAGCAGGUCAUAGUGAUCCGGUGGUUCUGAAUGGAAGGGCCAUCGCUCAACGGAUAAAAGGUACUCCGGGGAUAACAGGCUGAUACCGCCCAAGAGUUCAUAUCGACGGCGGUGUUUGGCACCUCGAUGUCGGCUCAUCACAUCCUGGGGCUGAAGUAGGUCCCAAGGGUAUGGCUGUUCGCCAUUUAAAGUGGUACGCGAGCUGGGUUUAGAACGUCGUGAGACAGUUCGGUCCCUAUCUGCCGUGGGCGCUGGAGAACUGAGGGGGCUGCUCCUAGUACGAGAGGACCGGAGUGGACGCAUCACUGGUGUUCGGGUUGUCAUGCCAAUGGCACUGCCCGGUAGCUAAAUGCGGAAGAGAUAAGUGCUGAAAGCAUCUAAGCACGAAACUUGCCCCGAGAUGAGUUCUCCCUGACUCCUUGAGAGUCCUGAAGGAACGUUGAAGACGACGACGUUGAUAGGCCGGGUGUGUAAGCGCAGCGAUGCGUUGAGCUAACCGGUACUAAUGAACCGUGAGGCUUAACCUU
rnacentral:rRNA from 1 species